CCUACAGGCGGCAGCAGUGGGGAAUAUUGGACAAUGGGGGGAACCCUGAUCCAGCCAUGCCGCGUGUGUGAAGAAGGCCCUCGGGUUGUAAAGCACUUUCAGUGAGGAAGAACGCCUGGUGGUUAAUACCCAUCAGGAAAGACAUCACUCACAGAAGAAGCACCGGCUAACUCCGUGCCAGCAGCCGCGGUAAUACGGAGGGUGCGAGCGUUAAUCGGAAUUACUGGGCGUAAAGCGCGCGUAGGUGGCUUGAUAAGCCGGUUGUGAAAGCCCCGGGCUCAACCUGGGAACGGCAUCCGGAACUGUCAAGCUAGAGUGCAGGAGAGGAAGGUAGAAUUCCCGGUGUAGCGGUGAAAUGCGUAGAGAUCGGGAGGAAUACCAGUGGCGAAGGCGGCCUUCUGGACUGACACUGACACUGAGGUGCGAAAGCGUGGGUAGCAAACAGGAUUAGAUACCCUAGUAGUC
rnacentral:rRNA from 1 species